UACGAAGGGGGCUAGCGUUGUUCGGAAUUACUGGGCGUAAAGGGCGCGUAGGCGGUACUUCAAGUCAGGCGUGAAAGCCCCGGGCUCAACCUGGGAACCGCGCUUGAGACUGGAGAACUAGAGUUCGGGAGAGGAUGGUGGAACUCCCAGUGUAGAGGUGAAAUUCGUAGAUAUUGGGAAGAACACCGAUGGCGAAGGCAGCCAUCUGGACCGACACUGACGCUGAGGCGCGAAAGCGUGGGGAGCAAACAGG
rnacentral:rRNA from 1 species